rnacentral:lncRNA from 1 species
CUAUUUGUCUUCAUUGCUUCCAGAAGUGACCCAUUUUAAAGAUUAACAAAACUGAAGAUUGCCUCUAGAAAGAAAAUAAUUAUCUCUGCAAAAUCAGGCCAGGAAGAAAACUGAAGCCCAGAAAGCUUAAUAUAUUACCCAAAGAGUUAGUCCACAUUGAACUGGGAGUUAAUCCUUGUCUGUCUGGCUGGAAAGCUUUUGCUCUGUAUCUUGGAUGAAUAAACUAAACCUUAGGGAAUCUUCCUAGAAGAAACCAUAUAACGCCUCCUGUACGAGAAGUUAAAUUACAACACAAAGAUUGCUUGGUGAGCAUGUGAUCAAAACAGGGCAAGAUGAAGACCUUUAGAGGCCACAAGCAUUUUAGUGUGCCUCCCAACUUCCCUUAUAUUAUUCAAAAUAUAAACAAUAAAAUCUACAAAGAUG